rnacentral:piRNA from 1 species
UGAACGGAUGUAUGGGGAACCAUUGGUGA